rnacentral:lncRNA from 1 species
AGCCACCGCAGUGAAAAUGCUGGAUCCUUAACCUGCUGCACCACAAGAACACUCAAAAGCCUAGUUGAGGUAAUGCCGGGGAGCUGAUAUUCUGGAGCGCUGGCAGUCAUUUUGUGACUCUGAGGGUAAAGCUGACUCAGUGAGAAGGGCAGACUGAGGAGUGGGGGAAGUUCCAGGGUCCUUUCCCAGCUAUGACCAGAAUUAACCAACCGGGGAAAGUCCCCUCUUCUGGGCUUAUUUCUUGCUGUAACACAUGGCCUCGUUGUUUAGCCAGUUGAGUCAGGGGUUUCUGUUUUGGGCCCUGAAGACUGCAUGCCUGAAAGAUGGUGUUUCCGGAGGGGUCCGGGGGGAAAGACAGGUGAGACUAGAAUUCUGCUGGCCUGGACAGAGGCGUUGCGUGAAUUAGGAAGGAUGCUCCCCUGGCUGGGGCUAGCCUUUUGGCACAAAGAAAAGCCUCCGGUCUGGGAGUUCUUGUUGUGGCUCAGCAGGUUAAGAACCAGAUGAGUAUCCAGGAGGAUGCGGAUUUGAUCCCUGGCCUCACUCAGUGGGUUAGGAAUCCAGCGUUGUCACAAGCUGUGGUAUAGGUCUCAGAUAUGUGGCUCAGAUCCUGCGUUGCUGUGGCUGUGGUGUAGGCCGGCAGCUGCAGCUCCAAUUCAACCCUUAGCCUGGGAACUUCCAUAUGCUGGGAGUUUGGCCCUAAAGAGACAAACAAACAAAAAAAGCCUUUAGGCUGACACAGCCACCCAUCUAGAGCACAGGCUUGUCUAAGGGGCCUUGAGCUGGCUCUCCCUGCCCCCUAGAGCCUUUGUGCAGGAUUCGACCUGGGAGGCCCUGGGAGAGGACCCCGGAUGGAGAGCAGGGAGGCUUCGUGGAGGGGUGUGUGGGGAGGGCAGGGCCUGCGGAAGGCAGCUCGCACCCUUAAGGGAGACCCUCCAAUGGCCGCGCCCACGACCUGCAGCUUCUUCUGCCUCAGACGCCCUGCAGAUGCGCUCCUUGUUCCGGCCCCAAACUGCCCUUGUCCCUAUCUGAGCACUGCCAUCAAUGCCCUGGACCCUUGCAAAGUGUCCCGGACAUGCACUGAGCGGGUAGAAAGGGGCUGGCAGGAUACCCGAGCCAGGCAGGUAGUAGAUGCUGCUCACUUCCCCGUGUGGGCAUUUCAAACGCCCCAGGCGGCUGGCACUCCCUGAACCAUCUUGCUCGCUGGGCAGAGUCCACCCCCGCCAGGCUCUCUGGGGAAGCAGCCAGAGGGUGGGUCUGCGGGCCGCAUGCCCACUUCUGGAAUGGUCGGGGUCUGGAGUCUGGGAGGAUCUGCAGGCCAGAAAAGAUUGAGCCAGGAGAGGCUGGGCAGCAGAGGGGGCCUCACUACCCUCCUGCCUCUCUGUCCCUCUUGGUCCUUCUCUGUCCCUCUUGGUCUUGCCUGGAGCUGCCUGGCUGCUGGGGGGCAGGGCUCAGGGAUGCAUUUGUCAGGGGCUUGGGCAGGCCCUGAGUGGGUGCUGCAGCUUUGGCACUGGGGUCAGGGGACAGACACAGCCCCUCCCGCCCGUGGGGGAGGAGGACAGGAGGAGGACGAAAGAGCCAAGUCACCGACAACUGGCCGAGGCGCUGGACACUUGUUGUCACAUCUGUCAACUCACAGGCCAUCUCUGCAAGCCCCAACUCUGCUCCAGCCUCCUGGGGGCCACCCCGGCUGCCCUGGGGGCCUGGAAAUGCCCAAACCUGUGGCGCUAAUCACGUGUGGCUCUCCCCAUUUAAAUGAAACACAGCAAAGCUAAAUGCAAAGUUCCUCAGUCACAGGAGCCACAUUUCAAAUGCUCAAGAGCCACCCAGGUG